rnacentral:rRNA from 1 species
CUUGCCAGGGAACUACGAGCCCCAGCUUAAAACCCAAAGGACUUGGCGGUGCUUUAGACCCCCCUAGAGGAGCCUGUUCUAGAACCGAUAAUCCCCGUUAAACCUCACCUUCUCUUGUUUAUCCCGCCUAUAUACCGCCGUCGUCAGCUUACCCUAUGAAGGUUAAUUAGUGAGCUUAAUUGGUACAACCUAAAACGUCAGGUCGAGGUGUAGCGUACGAGAAGGAAAGAAAUGGGCUACAUUCACUGAAUUAGUGCAUACGAACAAUGGCCUGAAAAGACCAUUUAAAGGAGGAUUUAGCAGUAAGAAGAGAAUAGAGUGCUCUCCUGAAAUUGGCCCUGAAGCGCGCACACACCGCCCGUCACUCUCCCCACACAUAGACUAAUUGUAAAUAAAACCCAACUUCAAAAAAGGGGAGGCAAGUCGUAACAUGGUAAGUGUACCGGAAGGUGCACUUGGAAAAAC